CUACGGGGCGCAGCAGUGAGGAAUAUUGCACAAUGGGGGGAGCCCUGAUGCAGCAACGCCGCGUGGAGGAUGACGCAUUUCGGUGUGUAAACUCCUUUUAUAUGUCAAGAAAAUGACGGUAGCAUAUGAAUAAGCACCGGCUAACUCCGUGCCAGCAGCCGCGGUAAUACGGAGGGUGCAAGCGUUACUCGGAAUCACUGGGCGUAAAGGACGCGUAGGCGGGUUGGAAAGUCAGGUGUGAAAUCCUACAGCUUAACUGUAGAGCUGCACUUGAAACUUCUAAUCUAGAGUAUGGGAGGGGGAGAUGGAAUUAGUGGUGUAGGGGUAAAAUCCGUAGAUAUCACUAGGAAUACCUAAAGCGAAGGCGAUCUCCUGGAACAUUACUGACGCUAAGGCGUGAAAGCGUGGGGAGCAAACAGGAUUAGAUACCCGGGUAGUC
rnacentral:rRNA from 1 species